rnacentral:rRNA from 1 species
GGGGAAUAUUGGGCAAUGGGCGAAAGCCUGACCCAGCAACGCCGCGUGAGGGGAGAAGGUUUUCGGAUUGUAAACCUCUGUCCUUGGGGACGAAAAAAAUGACGGUACCCAAGGAGGAAGCCCCGGCCAACUACGUGCCAGCAGCCGCGGUAAUACGUAGGGGGCGAGCGUUGUCCGGAAUUACUGGGCGUAAAGGGUGCGUAGGCGGUUAUUUAAGUCAGAUGUGAAAUCCCCGGGCUCAACCCGGGUAUUGCAUUUGAAACUGGGUAACUAGAGUGCAGGAGAGGGAAGCGGAAUUCCUAGUGUAGCGGUGAAAUGCGUAGAUAUUAGGAGGAACACCAGUGGCGAAGGCGGCUUUCUGGACUGUAACUGACGCUGAGGCACGAAAGCGUGGGGAGCAAAC